UAGGGAAUCUUCCGCAAUGGGCGAAAGCCUGACGGAGCGACGCCGCGUGAGCGAAGAAGGCCUUCGGGUCGUAAAGCUCUGUUGUGAGGGACGAAGGAGCGCCGUUCGAAGAGGGCGGCGCGGUGACGGUACCUCACGAGGAAGCCCCGGCUAACUACGUGCCAGCAGCCGCGGUAAUACGUAGGGGGCGAGCGUUGUCCGGAAUUAUUGGGCGUAAAGCGCGCGCAGGCGGUUCCUUAAGUCUGAUGUGAAAGCCCACGGCUCAACCGUGGAGGGUCAUUGGAAACUGGGGGACUUGAGUGCAGGAGAGGAGAGCGGAAUUCCACGUGUAGCGGUGAAAUGCGUAGAGAUGUGGAGGAACACCAGUGGCGAAGGCGGCUCUCUGGCCUGCAACUGACGCUGAGGCGCGAAAGCGUGGGGAGCAAACAGGAUUAGAUACCCUGGUAGUCCACGCCGUAAACGAUGAGUGCUAAGUGUUAGAGGGGUCACACCCUUUAGUGCUGCAGCUAACGCGAUAAGCACUCCGCCUGGGGAGUACGGCCGCAAGGCUG
rnacentral:rRNA from 1 species